UACAGAGGUGGCAAGCGUUGUUCGGAAUUACUGGGCGUAAAGGGCGCGUAGGCGGUUCGAUAAGUCCCGUGUGAAAUCCCUCGGCUCAACUGAGGAACUGCACGGGAAACUGACGGGCUUGAGUUCGGGAGAGGGAAGCGGAAUUCCGGGUGUAGCGGUGAAAUGCGUAGAGAUCGGGAGGAACAUCAGUUGCGAAGGCGGCUCUCUGGACCAGCACUGACACUGAGGCACGAAAGCGUGGGGAGCAAACAGG
rnacentral:rRNA from 1 species